rnacentral:rRNA from 1 species
AUUGAACGCUGGCGGCAGGCCUAACACAUGCAAGUCGAACGGUAACAGGAAACAGCUUGCUGUUUCGCUGACGAGUGGCGGACGGGUGAGUAAUGUCUGGGAAACUGCCUGAUGGAGGGGGAUAACUACUGGAAACGGUAGCUAAUACCGCAUAACGUCGCAAGACCAAAGAGGGGGACCUUCGGGCCUCUUGCCAUCGGAUGUGCCCAGAUGGGAUUAGCUAGUAGGUGGGGUAACGGCUCACCUAGGCGAAGAGCCCUAGCUGGUCUGAGAGUAUGACAAGCCACACUGGAACUGAGACACGGUCCAGACUCCUAAGGGAGGCAGCGGUGGGGAAUAUUGCACAAUGGGCGCAAGCCUGAUGCAGCCAUGCCGCGUGUAUGGAGAAGGCCUUCGGGUUGUAAAGUACUUUCAGCGGGGAGGAAGGGAGUAAAGUCAAUACCUUUGCUCAUUGACGUUACCCGCAGAAGAAGCACCGGCUAACUCCGUGCCAGCAGCCGCAGUAA